UGCAAUCGAAUAGGCUUGCGAGGGCGGUCGGCUAGUCUCCCGGAAGGGAGGUGAUGCCAUGGAGGUAUUUCAAGCGCUGCAAUUGAUGUUCCUGUUUGGAAUGUUUAUUCUGGCGCUGCUUGCCUACCUGAAAAAGAAAUAAACCGCCCUCGUCCAAAGGUAGCGGUCUAUUUCUCUGCUUAACCCAUUACAAGCCUACCGCCCUUAAAAGCGGCUAUUGUGCAUCGGGAGUCGUGUUCGCAGCAGGGCUC
rnacentral:sRNA from 1 species